UACGAAGGGGGCUAGCGUUGUUCGGAUUUACUGGGCGUAAAGCGCACGUAGGCGGAUCGUUAAGUCGGGGGUGAAAUCCUGGAGCUCAACUCCAGAACUGCCUUCGAUACUGGCGAUCUCGAGUCCGGAAGAGGUGAGUGGAACUCCUAGUGUAGAGGUGGAAUUCGUAGAUAAUUAGGAAGAACACCAGUGGCGAAGGCGACUCACUGGUCCGGUACUGACGCUGAGAUGCGAAAGCGUGGGGAGCAAACAGG
rnacentral:rRNA from 1 species